rnacentral:rRNA from 1 species
UACGGAGGGGGCUAGCGUUGUUCGGAAUUACUGGGCGUAAAGCGCACGUAGGCGGCUUUGUAAGUUAGAGGUGAAAGCCCGGAGCUCAACUCCGGAACUGCCUUUAAGACUGCAUCGCUUGAAUCAUGGAGAGGUCAGCGGAAUUCCGAGUGUAGAGGUGAAAUUCGUAGAUAUUCGGAAGAACACCAGUGGCGAAGGCGACUGACUGGACAUGUAUUGACGCUGAGGUGCGAAAGCGUGGGGAGCAAACAGG